rnacentral:rRNA from 1 species
GAUGAACGCUAGCUACAGGCUUAACACAUGCAAGGUCGAGGGGUAGCAGGGUAGCAAUACCGCUGACGACCGGCGCACGGGUGAGUAACACGUAUCCAACCUUCCCAUAACUCGGGGAUAGCCUUUCGAAAGAAAGAUUAAUACCCGAUGGUACUUAUAUAAGGCAUCUUAAAUAAGUUAAAGAUUUAUUGGUUAUGGAUGGGGAUGCGUUCCAUUAGAUAGUUGGUGAGGUAACGGCUCACCAAGUCUUCGAUGGAUAGGGGUUCUGAGAGGAAGGUCCCCCACAUUGGUACUGAGACACGGACCAAACUCCUACGGGAGGCAGCAGUGAGGAAUAUUGGUCAAUGGGCGAGAGCCUGAACCAGCCAAGUAGCGUGAAGGAUGAAGGUCCUAUGGAUUGUAAACUUCUUUUAUAGUAGAAUAAAGUGAUCCACGUGUGGAUUUUUGUAUGUAUACUAUGAAUAAGGAUCGGCUAACUCCGUG